CCUACGGGCGUCAGCAGUGGGGAAUAUUGCACAAUGGGGGAAACCCUGAUGCAGCGACGCCGCGUGAGUGAAGAAGUAAUUCGUUAUGUAAAGCUCUAUCAGCAGGGAAGAAAAUGACGGUACCUGAGUAAGAAGCCCCGGCUAACUACGUGCCAACAGCCGCGGUAAUACGUAGGGGGCAAGCGUUAUCCGGAUUUACUGGGUGGAAAGGGAGCGUAGACGGCAGUGCAAGUCUGGAGUGAAAGGCGGGGGCUCAACCCCCGGACUGCUCUGGAAACUGUACGGCUGGAGUGCAGGAGAGGUAAGUGGAAUUCCUAGUGUAGCGGUGAAAUGCGUAGAUAUUAGGAGGAACACCAGUGGCGAAGGCGGCUUACUGGACUGUAACUGACGUUGAGGCUCGAAAGCGUGGGGAGCAAACAGGAUUAGAUACCCCAGUAGUC
rnacentral:rRNA from 1 species